rnacentral:tRNA from 1 species
AGCCCCGUGGUGUAGCGGCCAAGCACACCGGGCUCUGGACCCGGUGACCCCGGUUCGAAUCCGGGCGGGGCUA